CCCGGACAUUGUGAGUGCUUUACAAAUUCCCCCCGGACGCUAUUUUUAGCACAAAAAGGAGGACAUGUCCGGGUAAAUCCGGACGAAUGUGUUUAUAUGGCAGACAACAGAGAAAAAGUGAUUUGAAUCCCAAUAUUUGAGUCAUCUGUCCAAAGCAUUUCAGAGCCAGUUAUCUCGUCAUAGAAGGCAAUCAGGUUGGUCAGGCAUUAUUGCCCUUGGUGAAUCCAUGUUGACUGUUCCUGAUCACCUUCCUUUCCUCCAAGUGCUUCAAAAUGGAUUCCUUGAGGACCUGCUCCAUGAUUUUUCUGGGGACAGAGCUGAGGAUGACCAGUCUGUAGUUCCCCGGAUUCUCCAUCUUCCUGAUUUUAAAUAUGGACACUAUAUUUGCCUUUUUCCAAUCAUUCAGGCCCUUCCCCGAUCACCAAAAGUUUUCAAAGAUAAUGGCCAAUGGCUCUGCAAUCACAUCAGCCAACACCCUCACCACCCCCUGAUUCAUUAGAUCCGGCCCCAUGGACUUGUGCAUGUCCAGCUUUUCUAAAUAGUCCUUAACCUGCUCUUUCUAUGAUUCUAGAUUGGGUAUGUCUACUCAAAUUUCUGUCACACCCUGUGACUGCAAUAUAGACAUACCCAGAGACCAAAGAUUGACUGAGCAUGGAGGGUACUGCGGGUCCUCGAGGGGAGGGAGGAGCAGCCCGGGACCCCCGUUGGUGCUGGGGGCAGCAACAGAUGGUGGUGCAUGGCCCGGGACUCCCACUGGUGCUGGGGGUGGUGUUGGCAGGGCCACCACGCUCCCUACCCGGCUCUGUGCCUCCCCGGAAACAGCAACAUCACUCAGUUCCUAGGCAGAGGAGAGGCCACACAGUUCUGCAUGCUACCUCUGUCCCAAGCACUGGAGCUGCAGCUCCCAUUGGCUGGGAACCACGGUCAAUGGGAGCUGCAGGAGCAGUGCCUGCAGGCAGAGGCAGCGCGCAGAGCCCCCUGGCCGCGCCUCCGCCUAGGAGCUGUGGGAUGUCCCUGCUUCUGGGGAGCCCCCCUCCCAAAGUAAGCACCACCCAGAGCUCUCACCCCCUACCGCACCCCACCCAAAGCCUGAGCCCCCCCCCCAAACUCCUGCUGCUGCUGGGGAGGGGGCACAGUGGUCCGAGACUGCCCCAGCAGCAGUCGAUAUGGCUGCCUGAGCUGUUCAGGUCGCCUUCGGGCCAGCCACACCAGUCGCUUCAGAAGUCACAGAGGUCACAGAAAGUCACGGAAUCCGUGACUUCCAUGACAAACUCGCAGCCUUAAUUAUCGGUAAUAUCAGUAAACAUCUAUUUCACUGUACACACACAACCAACAAAAAAUAUUUCCCUCAAUAAUAGUUGAAACUUACACGUAGGCAAAGUAAGAAAAAUGCUGCUUGAGAACUUAUUAGAGUUUCAUUUAAAGGGAUUUGCUUUGUAUAUCUUGACCGGUGAUGUUGAGAAUUUGUGUUUUCAUGGUUAUAAAGCUUUAACUUUUUGAAUCUCAACAUUCACUGCCAUUAAACAACUACUGUCUGACCUCCCCCACAUAAUUUCUCAGAACUGUAAAAAUUUAAAUCAAUGAAAAAAUUAAAAAUGCUUAAUUUAUAAUUUUGUGCAUCUGUGAAAAUUUAAAUGGAUUAAAAAUGUUUAAAAUUAAGAUUUAUUUGUACUCAUGUGAAGGUAGAAGUGUCUGACGCCUACUUGAAGAUGGAUUUUAAAUGACGAAUUCCUUCUCUUCCACUGAUUUUUGAGAAGGGCAGAAUUAUUUAGAUAAUGAGGCUUUGUAGACUUCCACAGAUUGCAUAUAAAAUGUAUAGGAUUUGCUAUAUAUCGUAUAAAAUAUUAUGAAUUAUUUAGAUAAUACUCUAAAGGGAGCUCUAAAUGUGCAACAGGAAAACAGAGCACACUUAAUUUAAAUACACAUAUGUAAUCUGUAAUUUGUCUUUUUUUGUUAAUUAAGACAACAAAAUCCAAAUCAACAAACAAGUAUCAGUUUGCUACUAAAUGAUCUAUUCAUUCCUCAUGUACCUGGACUUCUCAAGGGUCCUUGACACCAUUGAGCACUCCCUAUUUCUUGAAAUACUGACAGCCAUUGGCUUUCAUAGCUCCAUUCCCUCAUGGCUCUCUUCCUACCUUUCUGAUUGUACCUUCAGUGUCUGGUUUGUUGGCUCCACACUGUACAUUUUACAGGGCUCUGUUCUUGGUUCACUCCUCUUCUGUCUCUAUAACUGCUCUCUAGAUUAUUUUAGCCCCUUUCAUGGCUUUGAUCACUAUGUCUAUGCUGCCCUCCAUCUAAGUCCGGCAGCUCACUUGGCUCUCUGACAUCUCUUUCUGGAUGUCCUUUCAGCUGUUACCAAAUAUCUUCUUGAUUUACUCACAUCUUCCCUCCUACUCUGACAUUUCUUCAUUUUUGACCCCUUAAAAAUAUGUUUUUGUGGGUUUUUUAGGUUCCUACAAAACUUAGCCCCACGCCACCUAUUAUAUCAGUAAUCUUAUAGUGUCACUGACUAUCAGCUUUGCUUCAUCAACAUUGCCAGCCUUUAACGACCUAUUAAUCCUCAAGAACUUCAGGGCUUUAUCCCACACUGCCCUUAAUGUAUGUAAUAAACUCCCCAAAGAAAUGUGUAAAGCUGCCACCUUUUUCAGCUCUCUCGGUAAAGCUCCUUUGGGCUAUGAUGCCAACAGAACCUUGCCAGUUGAUGAAAGCAAGGCAGGUGGUGAGCCACAUUGUGAACACAGAUACUCUGUGCAAAAACAUACUUGUUUUACUAUGGACACUCCCCACAACACACCCCACCAUUUGUGUGGUAUUUAUUGUAAGCCCUUUGCGGCAGGGGUGGUCAUUGUACUGUGUGUUUGUACAGCACCUAACAAAUUAAGGCCCUGAUCCCUGAUGGGGGCCCAAGUCUAAGAGCCGCUGCAAUACUAAGGAAUAGAAAUAAUAAUCUGGCUUCCUUUGAUUUGGUCAGAAAGACUACUCAAAACAUCUCAUUUUGAACUGCACCUUAACUGACAAGUUCAGCCUAAUAGGGUAAAACUACUAUUCCUUGCCAAAUGAGACCCCCAGUCACCUCAGUGGGAGCCUGGGUGCAGGUGGAUGACAGUGCUGAGACUACAUGGUAUAUUCACCUUUCAAGUAGCAACGUUUCUGGAAAAUAAUGUGAUAUUUAAAAAAAAUACAAUUGUUUUAUUGUAGAUGAUAUUUUAUUUAGGUUUGUUGACCCUCUUCUUCCUGCUUUAGACCAUUGGCUGGCUGCUAAAAUAGGAUUCUGUAAAAAGCUAUUAAAAAAAACA